CGGACGGGUGAGUAACGCGUGGGUACCUGCCCUGUACACACGGAUAACAUACCGAAAGGUAUGCUAAUACGAGAUAAUAUGCUUUUAUCGCAUGGUAGAAGUAUCAAAGCUUUUGCGGUACAGGAUGGACCCGCGUCUGAUUAGUGAGAUGGUAAGGUAACGGCUUACCAAGGCGACGAUCAGUAGCCGACCUGAGAGGGUGAUCGGCCACAUUGGAACUGAGACACGGUCCAAACUCCUACGGGAGGCAGCAGUGGGGAAUAUUGCACAAUGGGCGAAAGCCUGAUGCAGCAACGCCGCGUGAGCGAUGAAGGCCUUCGGGUCGUAAAGCUCUGUCCUCUAGGAAGAUAAUGACGGUACUUGAGGAGGAAGCCCCGGCUAACUACGUGCCAGCAGCCGCGGUAAUACGUAGGGGGCUAGCGUUAUCCGGAAUUACUGGGCGUAAAGGGUGCGUAGGUGGUUUCUUAAGUCAGAGGUGAAAGGCUACGGCUCAACCGUAGUAAGCCUUUGAAACUGGGAAACUUGAGUGCAGGAGAGGAGAGUGGAAUUCCUAGUGUAGCGGUGAAAUGCGUAGAUAUUAGGAGGAACACUAGUUGCGAAGGCGGCUCUUUGGACUGUAACUGACA
rnacentral:rRNA from 1 species